UUAAUUUUCAAUAUUAAUUUCAAUAUCACAUUAAAUUUAAAAUUUUUUUAAGGGUUUAAUUUUUACUCAAAAUGAAAUUUUUAUUCUGGUUUGUCGUUAUUUUAGCCAUGCUAGGUGCCCUAGUAGAUGUGAGCACCGCAGCAGCCCAGAAUAACAGGAAGAAAGAUUCUUCAGAAGAAAAGCAUCGUAGAAGAACUACCACCACUACUGCAGCAGCUCAUUAAUAAACUUUACAUCUCUUAUAUACAUUCAUUAAAAGUUGCUGUUAUAAUAUUACAUCAGUGGAUAUUGCUAAUUAUAUCACACAGUUGAUCAGUUUUUAAUUUAAUUUAUGACUUUUAAGAAAUUCAUUAAAACUAAA